UACGUAGGGGGCAAGCGUUGUCCGGAAUUAUUGGGCGUAAAGAGCUCGUAGGUGGCCUGUCGCGUCGGCUGUGAAAACUCGGGGCUCAACUCCGAGCUUGCAGUCGAUACGGGCAGGCUAGAGUUCGGCAGGGGAGACUGGAAUUCCUGGUGUAGCGGUGAAAUGCGCAGAUAUCAGGAGGAACACCGGUGGCGAAGGCGGGUCUCUGGGCCGAUACUGACACUGAGAGACGAAAGCUAGGGGAGCGAAUGGG
rnacentral:rRNA from 1 species